AAAUGUCAGUGCCUCCUCGAAUGCACUUGUUUUCGGGAUGGGCAGGUCAAUUCCCCUAUACUCAUUAUAUUAACCUCUCUUUUUUUAUCUUCAAUCAUUCACAUGAUUAACGACCCGGAAAUUAAGCCGACGUGGAUAUAGUGCGAUGCGCAAUAAAAAAAAAGUCGCGACAUAUUCGCAAUUUUCAAUUUUUCCCCAAGGUUUUUUCGAAUUAUCGUUUUUUUUUGUUUGUUGAUUGAAUAAAAACGUGCGAGUGUCAAUUUUGUAUAUGAAAGAAAUAUAUAAAUGUGUGUGUGUGCGGCAUGAUAGUGGACGCAUAAACAUGGCAGCCGCGAGAAAUUCUUGAGUGUCUCUUUUUAAAGGUGAUGAGCCCGGCUCUUGUGUUUAGUUCCAGGUGACGAUGUUAAUGUGUCAUCGUGAAUAAUGAGUGAGAGAAAAUUUACAAGAGGCCUGGGAAAGCCUGGCAUGGCUGCUCAACUCAGGGAAACUGUCUCGCAAGUUGUUCGCGAGAGUACUGUGCAGAAUAAGCCACAUCUUGUUGAACCGAUUGACUUCGAGAAUUUUGUGCUAAAAAAUAAGACAUUAUUACAAAAUGAUCCACAACGUGAAUUAUUAUUGUACCCUCAAGACGAUGUAUCGCAAGUUGUUUUACCGAGAAGAUAUCGAACAGUCGUGCCCACUGUGCAACGCAUAUCCGAUUCCGAGGAUGAUCAAGAAAAUCUCUUGACAAAAGAAUGUAAACGCAGUUAUGCAUCGAACUGGAAUUUAGUGCACUACAAAUAUUCCGUCUACAGUGGCUCUUAUCUCGAAUUGCCAAAAAUAUCAAAAGCAGAUGAUUUAAAGGACGAAGUCUAUGAAAUUGAUACGGAAAUCGAUCAAGUUGAUGAGGUGAUAACGAAAAACGAUGGCAUAGCGAAACAGGGAUAUCUGAUGAAGGGCCCGGAAAUUGGAAGCAGUGAUCGAAUGUUUGCGCAUAUUGGUUCAAAGUCUUUUAAGCGUCGCUUCUGUCACUUGAGACAGGAAGUCGAUGGCACUUAUAUUCUCGAGAUGUUUAAAGAUGAAAAGAAAGGCGAAGCUAAAUUAUCGAUUGUCAUGGACUUUUGCGCUGAGGUCGUGAGAAAUCCAAAACGAGGACGUUAUUGUUUCGAGCUGAGAAUGAGUGCCGAUCAUAAAUCUUACACACUCGCCGCCGACAAUGAAUGUGAAUUACAAGAUUGGCUCGCAAAAUUGGUAUCAGUUUUGCAACACUACAAACAACAGGAGGAAAAACGUGCCGCCUCAUUGGAAAGAACUUGCAAUACACCACCGCCAUCCCCUCAACCAAUGCAAGUCUACGGCACAUUAAAGGGUCUCGAACAAAGUAUGAAUCCACAAUUAAUAAAAUAUGCCCGUGAAACGGACACGAGUAUUGCCCUAGCGAGACGUGAGAAUCGUAAACGAUUAUUGAAUCUCUAUCCCCAAGUGGCGCAGGCGAAAUCGACGAUUAAUUUUUCCAACGAGCAGAAUAUUGACUCGUACAAGGAGCAAUUUGGUCAGAGAAUUUUCGUUAAAUGCGAAAGUCUUAAAUUUCGUUUACAAGCGCAAAUCGAUGAGACUGCCGCUCUGUGUCAAGUUGAACCUUAUUAUACAACUCUGUGUUUAUUUGACGCUAGAAACGGUAGAAAAUUGAGCGAGAAUUUUCAUUUUGAAAUAAAUCACGAAAUUGUACGCGAUUUUGUCAAGGAACUGAGUCCAACGAGUGUAAUGACGGAAUUGUCGAAAAAUAUUCAAUUACCCGAUGAUUUGUCAACAAUACCAUCGGAUUGGACACGAUUCGCAAAACAGGCUAUUUUUAAUAUCAAUAAUCCACAUCCGGAAAUAUUUCUCGUUGUGAGAAUUGAUAAAAUUUUACAAGGAAGUAUAUAUCAGACUUCUGAGCCAUAUUUACGUGCCACUAAAGAUCCACGGCUUGGUCUCAAAAUUCAUAAACAAGUUAAAGCCUGUUGUCAAAGAUUGGGAAAUUAUAGAAUGCCGUUUGCAUGGUCGGCGCGACCUUUAUUUAGAUUAUACAGCAACGAAUUGGAUACUUCGUCUGAUUUUCCGGCUAUUUAUCGACAAGAGGGAAAUAAAAUCAAGGACGAUGAGUUAUUGAAAUUGCUCUCCGAAUAUAGAAAACCUGAGAAACUCAACAAGUUGACAGUCAUUCCAGGAUGGUUGAAAAUAAAAAUUGAAGCUCUGUCAGAUAUUCCUGAAAAUAGCUUAACGACUAGUUUGUCAAUGUUGAAACCUUUUCCUCUUCCGCCGACAUCUGAUCCAACAUUUGAAAUCGCUGAGUUUGAAAGUUCGUCGGAAAAGGAAAUUCAUCCGUACACGACAUUUGUCAAUCAUCUUUAUGUCUAUCCCCAGAGUCUUUGCUUCGAUUCACAGAAAAUUUUCACGAGAGCCAGAAAUAUUGCCUGUAUCGUUGAAUUAAGAGAAGAUGACAAUGAAAAUGCCGAGCCUUUAAGAUGUAUUUACGGACGACCAGAUGGACCUCUUUUAUGUCUACGAGCAUCGUGCGCGGUUUUACAUCACAAUUCGGUGCCUUCUUGGUAUGAGGAAAUAAAACUCAGAUUACCAACAAAGCUUCACUCGAAGCAUCAUCUUCUUUUCUCGUUUUAUCAUAUAAGUUGCGACAUGAAUAAAAAGAAGGAAAAUGGCAUUGAAAACUGCGUUGGAUAUUCCUGGCUUCCUUUACUUCAUAAAGGAAGACUUAACAUUGACACUGAAAGUAGCGCUCAACUUUUACCAGUCGCAACACAUUUGCCUAGUGGUUAUCUUUCUAUUCAACCUCUUGGUCUUGGGAAAGGGAAUGCUGGUCCGGAAAUAACGUGGAUCGAUUCGCAGCGUCCAAUUUUUACUGUUGGCUUUCAAUUGAAUUCAACUGUAUUUACGAGGGAUGCACAUUUACACAAUCUGUUUGCACACGCCGAGAGAAUAUUAGAAACAAAACCAUCGGCAUUGCCAUCUGAUUCGGAAACAUGUAAAAUUUUAAAAGCAGCUCACGCUAUACAAUUAGUUACUGUCAUUACAUUUUUACCGACAAUUUUAAAUCAACUCUUUGCCUUAUUAACGUGCAAUGUUAGCGAUGAAAUUGGUCUCUGCAUUAUACGACUCUUGGUACAUAUCAUAAAUAUGGUACACGAGGCGGGUCGUAAAGAAAUUUUACAAGCUUACGUUAAGUUCGUUUUCGUCUCGCCGGCAAAAGUAAAUGGUAAUCCAACAGUGCAUGAACAAUUGGGAAGACAUUUGCCAACAUUACUGCAACCGAGCAACACGGAUUUUCUCGUUGUUAAUAAAUUCUUGCACCAUUCGGGUUUCUUUUUUGAAAUUAUGGUUAAAAGUAUGGCUCAACAUUUAUUAACGACCGAAAGAAUAAAGAUGCACAGAAACGAAAGAUUCUCGAAGGAAUAUCAUGAGAAGAUCAAAAAUCUUUUGGAAGUCGUCAUGCCUUAUUUGAUGAAUAAAUAUAAAGAAAUGCCAGUGGAAACUCACGAGCUGAAUAAAAGUCUUGCGCAUUUUUUGAAGAGGUGUUUAACUUUUAUGGACAGAGGUUUUGUGUUCCGACUGAUAAAUUCCUACAUGGACAAUUUUGCACCCGGUGAUUCAAGAACACUUCACGAUUUUAAAUUCUCCUUUCUCCAAGUGAUUUGUUCACAUGAGCAUUUUGUGUCAUUCAAUUUGCCAAUGAUGCAUUCGCGAAUAACAUCACGUGAGACAGAGACAGAACCAGAUUGUGAUGGUUAUUUUACAGAUCUUCUGAAUGAAUAUUGUUUGACGGAGGAUUUUUGUAAGCAUCAUUUCCUAGUUGGACUUUUACUUCAAGAGGUGAAAACUUCUCUCUGUGAAGUUGUUCAGGUUCGAAAAACUGCUAUCGCCACUUUAAGGGAUUUAUUAGCGAAGCACGAAAUGGACGAUCGCUAUCAAAAUAAGGGUCAAUUGGGAAGAAUUUCCUCCCUUUAUAUUCCAUGGUUAAGCAUCGUUUUGGAGAAUCUUCACCGUCUUGAAUUCAACGAAGGAAAGUCGGAUGUUAAACAAAAUUCGAAUCGCGCCUCUAUCAAUAAUUCCUUCUCGACAAGUAAGGAAGCCAAUAAUGUGACUGCUGCCAGUACACCGAAAUCCAUUCACAGGUUGACAAUGCACUUGGAUUCACAAUCACCAAUUAGGGCAUCGAUGCAUUUGAGAGAUUCGACAUAUUUCGCAGCGAUUGCUGGACAAACAAUGGUGAAUGGCUAUUCAUGUACGAGUAUUGAAUCUGAUGUUUCGACAAUGUCGGGCGCAUCGCAAUCGAAUAUUUCACAAGAGACGACAAUAAUUCGGGAACCAUUGGAAAAUGGCACCAAGGAACAUAAAUGCCACUCGAGAUCGUUGAGUGUCGCACAAUCGACAAAUAGAUGUGAUAAAUUACAACCAUCCGAAGUAAAAGAUGUUCUACUUGGUUUUCUAUUUAUUAUCAAAUAUCUCGGCGAUCAUCAAAUUAUCGCCUGGUGGCAACAAUGCAGUGACACGGAAGUACUUAAUUUCUUUACUAUCAUCGAAAUGAGUCUUCAGCACUUUAGAUACGUGGGUAAGAGGCAAAUUGUCGCGAACGCGGUAAAAGAGGGUGGAAAACCGAGAGCGGCAAAAGCAAUGACAUUGCCGGCGAGAAUGGCACCGCCUGAUUUUUCAAACGAUAAUCCAACAACUGGAACUUUACAACCACAUAAUACGGUUGCACGUGAGAAUUUAGUUGAAAAUGAUUCUGGCAAAUGUUAUCACGCAUUACUUGAAGCGAAUCUUGCGACUGAAGUUGGACUCAUUACUUUAGAUUGUCUAGGACUAUUUUGUAUACAUUUUAAAGAUGUGCUACUUUCUAAUGAUGGUAGUAAUCCAGUGAUGCAGAGGGUAUUCAAUAUUUACUUAUUGUUCCUCCAACUGGGACAAUCGGAAACACUUUUUCGACAUGUUUUCGCUGGUCUUCGUGCAUUCUUAAAUAAUUACUCCAUCGUUUUGUUUCGAGGCAAUGCAGUUUUGUGUGGAAGACUGUGUUACGAGUUAUUAAGAUGCUGCAAUAGUAAACUCAGUUCGAUAAGACAAGAAUCAUGUGCCUUACUUUACUUGCUCAUGAGAAGUAAUUUUGAAUUUACCAGCAGGAAGGGAUUAAUUCGAGUGCAUUUACAGGUAAUUAUUUCCGUAUCAAAAAUGUUGGGCAACGUGAUUGGCUUGAACAAUUCAAGAUUUCAAGAAUCACUAUCGCUAAUUAAUAGUUACGCAUCGUCCGAUAAAGUUAUGAAGGGUACGGGUUUUCCGGUUGAGGUGAAGGAUUUAAAUAAGAGAAUAAGAACAGUUUUAAUGGCGACCGCACAAAUGAGAGAGCACAAUAAUGAUCCAGAAAUGUUGGUCGAUUUACAACACAGUCUGGCGAAUUCUUAUGCCAGUACACCCGAAUUAAGACACACUUGGCUGGAAACAAUGGCUAGAAAUCAUGCCAGGGAUGGAAAUUACUCUGAGGCGGCUUGUUGUCAAUUGCACAUUGCAGCGUUAAUGGCAGAAUAUUUAAAAUUGAAAAAAAUUCACACAUGGGGUGCAGAGGCUUUUGACACAAUUUCAACGAACAUAAGUCGUGAUGAGCGAGGACUGAAGGUCGAUGCCGGUGAGAGUUGUGUGCAGGAUAUUCACUAUAAUGAGAGUUUACUUUUGGAACAAUUGGAAUUGUGUGCCGAAAUGUUGGAAAAAGCGGAACGCUUCGAAGUUCUUGGACCUCUUUAUCGACUCAUUAUUCCCAUGUACGAGAGGAAACGAAAUUACGAAGCUCUUUCAAAUUGCUAUUCGCAUUUAACGCAAUCGUGCAAUAAAGUCGUUGAAGUCACUCGCAGUGGGAAGAGACUAUUGGGUCGUUUUUAUCGAGUCGCAUUCUUUGGCUCUGCCUAUUUCGAGGAGGAAAACGCGCAGGAGUAUAUUUACAAGGAACCGAAAGUGACAUCGCUUUCGGAAAUUUCGGAAAGACUCUAUCAUCUUUAUUCGGAGAAAUUCGGUGCCGAGAAUGUGAAGAUGAUCAUGGAUUCGACGCCUGUUGACGUUACUGAAUUGGACUCAAAAAUGGCUUACAUUCAAGUGACACACGUGACUCCGUAUUUUGAGAAAACCGAAUUGGAAGGAAGACCAACGGAAUUCGAACAAAAUCAUGACGUUUCGUGUUUUAUGUUCGAAACGCCAUUCACGAAAGAGGGGAAAGCGAGGGGCAGUCCGGAGGAGCAGUGGAAGCGAAGAAGCAUCCUCACGACUCAUUAUACAUUCCCAUAUGUAAAGAAGCGAAUUCCAAUAAUCGAGAAGCGAAUUGUGGAGCUCAGUCCAAUUGAAGUUGCCUUAGAUGAAAUGAGACAGAGAGUUCAAGAAUUGGAGGACGUUGCAUUAAUUGUUCCAACGGAUGCAAAGAAACUUCAACUCAGGUUGCAGGGAAGCGUUUGCGUGACGGUUAACGCCGGACCAUUGGCCUACGCUUCCGCCUUUUUAGAUCCUGCCCUAUCUCCACAAUAUCCCGACGAUAAAGUGGACGAAUUGAAGGACGUUUUUAGGGAAUUUGUGAAAAUUUGCUACACGGCUUUACAAAUAAAUGGAAAACUAAUUUCAUCCGAUCAACAUGAAUAUCAAGAGGUAUUACGUGAAAAUUAUCAAAAGCUGUGCCAGAAUUUAUCAUCAUUAUUGGGUGAGCCAAUAUGGUCGGACGAUCAAAUUGGAAGUUUUAAACGUAACAGUGCUGCGCUAUUUAGCGCAAUAAGUGGCACCAAUAAUCACACAAGUACCGCCUAAUUUUUUUCUUUUUGAGACUGAUCUUUGAUACGCAUCUUGAUAAACUUUUAUAUAGUAUAUACAUAUAUAUAAAAAAUAGUGUCAGUCACGUAACUUUGAAGUUCCCUCAGAAUGGAAGCAUUGAACGAAAGAACUGCAAUUCGAGAAAAUAAUUCAUCGACACCGUCGCCUGUUCUUGAUGAAACGGCCCAAAA